CCCUUCUGAUGCCUCUCAUCUUAGCCAUUAAUUUCAUCCUACGUCUAUGAACAAUUCAUCAAUCAAAACUACGUUGUUUAGAAGGUUAAAUUUGGACAGUUCAUUCCAACACUUAAUCCUAGAUGGCUUUUAAUUUAAAAUCACCGUCUUCCUCAUCACACUGGCAGAGAAGCUGAUCGCAAAAACAAAGUCUCAAGCGCGGGAAACUUCUGCACAGGAAUUUGAUCAUGGAAGCCAGCGGGCACAGCAAAGGAAGACGUGAGGAAGCUAGGGCGGUCGGACGGAAAGAUCUGCAUCUUUGUUGAACUUGUACUCUAUCGUUCGAAGUCAGAAAGCUGGGGAUGAAGCCGUCGCCAAAAGCCUUGAAGGAAAAGGAGCACAAUUUUCCAGGGAAAUCAAAUAUAACUUCUCAUAAGACUGUUUAUCCCUUGAUAAUUUCAAAUUCAGCACCAAUCGGUAGAUGAUCACUUGGAUGACUGAAGUUUGGCAGUCCACCAUCAACAUCAGGGGCACUGGAGUCAGGAAGCUCAAGAAAACUGAUUGGUUUAAUAGUGUGAGAAGGGCUAAAUAGUAUAUAAUCCAAUGUUCCUGUGAACCCAGGAGUGCAGUUGGUAAAUGAAGGCUCUCCUCUUGUACAGGCAUAGACACUUAAUAAGGGAAUGGAAAGGUCUUCUGAGCAUUCAGGCAUCGGUGUUGAUGAAGGGUAGCCAGAUACAAGGUAUUGAUAAACCUGCAAAAAGAAAGGGGAUUGAAUUAUUAGAAACAUGUUGAGAAAAUAUGCAGCUCCAAUUUUGAAAGUACAACAAUUGGGGGGGAAAAAUAGUGAUUUCCCUGCGAACAUCUUCCGUGUAAAAAAAUAAAAAGUCUUGGAGAAAAGACUUUCUUGCAGAAAUUCCAAUGAAAUUAUCAAUAGAAAUGGCAAAACAACUUCUCUCUAGCAGGAAUUCCGUGAGAAUUCCUCUGGUUUCUUAUCAAGCAUGUGGACUUACACCUGCCGGAUAAGUGAUAUUGCAUUACUUGAAGAUUAACUCGCACCACUGUUUAGCAUCAUGGAUCUAAAGACAAUCCCUUUCUGUCAUUUAUAUAAGUUGUUACAUCAUUCAUCAUUGCAGUUAAUAAUAUUUAUUCCUUUCUUUUUA